AACGAACGCUGGCGGCAGGCUUAACACAUGCAAGUCGAACGCACCGCAUGGUGAGUGGCAGACGGGUGAGUAACACGUGGGGAUCUGCCCAAUGGUACGGAAUAGCUCCGGGACACUGGAAUUAAUACCGUAUGAGCCCGCAAGGGGACAGAUUUAUCGCCAUUAGAUGAACCCGCGUCGGAUUAGCUAGUGGGUGUGGUAAAGGCGUACCAAGGCGACGAUCCGGAGCUGGUCUGAGAGGAUGAUCAGCCACACUGGGACUGAGACACGGCCCAGACUCCUACGGGAGGCAGCAGUGGGGAAUAUUGGACAAUGGGCGCAAUCCUGAUCCAGCCAUGCCGCGUGAGUGAUGAAGGCCUUAGGGUUGUAAAGCUCUUUCGCCGACGAAGACAAUGACGGUAGUCGGAGAAGAAGCCCCGGCUAACUUCGUGCCAGCAGCCGCCGUAACAC
rnacentral:rRNA from 1 species